GGAAAUAAAAAAAUUAGAAAACCCGCCUUCCUUCCUUGUUUCCCCUCUUUAGCUCUGGGUAUGUUCUUUGACCACAAAAAUCUUCUCCGGUCAUCCUCCGCCUCCCUACAUCAAGUGUUGCUUGCAUCUUUCCCUUGCACUCCGACCGCCGCCACCGAUUCUUCCCCGUUCGUUGACAUCGAUCAAGGCUCAUUUACUUCUACCCACUGGAACCACCAUAUCUCCCACUCGAUGUUGAAAUUGUCAGAAAAAGCCCUAAUUCAGUAUUAUACUCUCAAGUCUCAAUAUUAAGAAUGCAAAUCUUGAUUCUUGUUUGUUUCUUAUUCCCCACAGAUAAACCGAAAAAGGGGAAUUAGAAUAACGAAGGUAGCGAGAGUUUUGGUCCGGUGGUCGUGGUUCAUCUAUCGAGCAAGGAAGAUGGGAAUGCAAUCAACCAUGGUGGCUCGAUGAUGUAAUCAAUCGAGAAAGGGGAAACACCUCUAGCAGCGAUGCUUCCCUUGUCUGCCGCAGCUAGGGGGAAGGCGCUCCGACGGUCUCCUUGGUCGUUCUUCCUUGUCGCCAU
rnacentral:lncRNA from 1 species